rnacentral:rRNA from 1 species
UAAGCGGAGGAAAAGAACUUAACAAGGAUUCCCCUAGUAACCGGCGAGUGAAGUGGGAAAGCUCCAACUUUGAAAUCUGGUACUUUCAGUAUCCGAAUUGUAGUCUCAAGAAGUGUUUUCUGUGCUGGUCCAUGUAUGAGUCUGUUGGAACACAGCGUCAUAGAGGGUGACAACCCCGUUCAUGACAUGGAUACCAGUGCUUUGUGAUACACUCUCGAAGAGUCGAGUUGUUUGGGAAUGCAGCUCAAAUUGGGUGGUAAAUUCCAUCUAAAGCUAAAUAUUGGCGGAGAGACCGAUAGCAAACAAGUACCGUGAGGGAAAGAUGAAAAGCACUUUGGAAAGAGAGUUAACAGUACGUGAAAUUGUUGAAAGGGAAACGAUUGAAGUCAGACGUGCGUGAUGCGGUUCAGCUCUGGUUCGCCAGAGUGUACUCCGUAUCUUUGCAGGCCAACAUCGGUUUUGUUAGUCGGAUAAAGGUUUGAGAAAUGUGGCAUCUUCGGAUGUGUUAUAGUCUCAGACUGAAUACGAUUGAUGGGACCGAGGAACGCAGCGCGCCGCAAGGCAAAGGUUCCGACCUUUUCGCGCUUAGGAUGUUGGUGAAAUGGCUUUAAACGACCCGUCUUGAAACAC